GAUGAAGAACGUAGCGAAAUGCGAUACUUGGUGUGAAUUGCAGAAUCCCGCGAAUCAUCGAGUUUUUGAACGCAAGUUGCGCCCGAAGCCAUUUGGCCGAGGGCACGUCUGCCUGGGUGUCACGCAUCGUUGCCCCCCCAAACUCCGGUUCGGGCGGGGCGGAAGUUGGCCUCCCGUGCGUGCCUGCGCGCGCGGUUAGCCCAAAAGCGAGUCCUCGGCGACGAGCGCCACGACAAUCGGUGGUUUUUUUACCCUCGUUCCUCGUCGUGCGUGCCCCGUCGCCCGAACGCGCUCUUGCGACCCUUACGCGUCGCCUCGGCGGCGCUCCCAACGCGACCCCAGGUCAGGCGGGACUACCCGCUGAGUUUAAGCAUAUCAAUAAGCGGAGGA
rnacentral:misc_RNA from 1 species